rnacentral:lncRNA from 1 species
GCCUAUGUUUCUAUAGAUUUCAUCGAUGGAAUCGUUUUAUUUUAUUUUGUUUGACACGAAAUGAAUCAAAACAGAGGGAGAAAGGUGCCUGCCAAAUGGACACGCAAUGCCCUGUGUGACUAUUCCCGGUGCACAGCUUCUCCGCGACCAAGUUGUUGGGUGGAUGCAUGAUUUGAUUUGCUCCCGAAACACUUGUUUAACGACCGUCGGACCUCCGAUGAUGAUGCGUGAAGUAAUCGGUGACGACCGAAAUGACAGGAAGUUCCCAUCCCAGCUACUAAUCGCGCAGGAGGAUGAAGCGCACCUGGUCAUCCGCGUUCCCGGCGGUUCGGAUGGAGCCCGCCCGGCCUGAUCCCGCGCACAUGGCCGUUGCCGAUGCGAUCCGCCGUCGUCUCUGCUGCUGCUGCUGCUGCUGCCGUGUCUCCAGCGUACGGUCAGAUUCGGAAGGGAGGCGGAGAAAUAUCUCCCGUCCUUUUUGGCUUUGCCAGAACGGAACGACUGGCUCUGAGGAGUGUUGCUACUGUGAGGCACAG